rnacentral:rRNA from 1 species
UACGAAGGGGGCGAGCGUUGUUCGGAAUUACUGGGCGUAAAGGCGCGUAGGCGGCCGAUCAAGUCAGAUGUGAAAGUCCUGGGCUUAACCUGGGGACUGCAUUUGAUACUGAUUGGCUUGAAUGCAGGAGAGGAUAGCGGAAUUCCCAGUGUAGAGGUGAAAUUCGUAGAUAUUGGGAAGAACACCGGUGGCGAAGGCGGCUAUCUGGACUGGUGAUUGACGCUGAGGCGACGAAAGGCGUGGGGAGCAAACAGG